rnacentral:lncRNA from 1 species
GCCCAGCCCAGGCGAAUCCCAGUCCUGCCAGAGCUGCGAGUCCUCGGUGCCGCCCGGCUGUCCUGGCUUUUUCAUCUGUGCGUGCUGCGUCCUGCUGAGGUGGAGCACGGGCACCAGGAGCUCUGCAGUCUGUGUGAGGAGCUCUCGGGGAAGGGUUCCGAGAUCGGUGCCGACAAGCUCAAGCAGGUUCUGGAUGGGGUGUUUUCCAGACGAACAGACAUAAAGUUCGAUGGUUUCAGCAUCCACACUUGCCGGGAAGUGAUCAGCUUGCUGGACAGCUCUGGCACCGGUACCCUGGGACCCACUGAGCUCAGAGCGCUCUGCCUGAAGGUCCGGAAGUACCUGGAGAUCUACCAGGAGAUGGAUCCCAGCCACCUGGGGACCGUGGAUGCCCACGAGAUGAGGACAGCCCUCAGGAGGGCGGGGUUCAGCGUCAGCACCCAGGUGCAGCACACCAUCGCCACUCGCUACGCCGGCCGCACGCUCUGCCUCGACUUCGACGGCUUCGUGGCCUGCAUGGUCCGGCUGGAGAGCCUCUUCCAACUGUUCCGGGUCUUGGACCGGAACCGGACGGGUGUCAUCCAGCUCUCCCUGGCUGAGUGGCUGGGCUGUGUGCUGGUCUGAGCGGCGUAUUCUCCCGCCCUCCGCCCUCCCUCCUGGGUUCUCUGGAUGCUCAGCCUCGGGGCCUUUGCUGGCUUCUCCAGUGGCUCUGCCAAGUCACUGCGCCCUGGGGCGCUGGCCUGGCUGCAGCCUUGCUGGGUGCAGCCCGAGGGGAGGACAGGCAAUUAAAGCUGUGGCUGGAGCAGUCUCGCCUCUCUCUGGGGACACGAAACACGGGCCUCACGCACUAGGAGCACGAUGCUCUUGGGAAACACGACAGGAGCCCCCAAGAUGGAAAACGGGGAUUGAUUUCCGAAGGAGGAGGCCUGCUCCCCUCAGGGCUGCUGUGGGAAAGGGGAGCACCUGCUCCAUCUAGUUUGCCCAACCCCCUCAUUCUUUAGAGUGCCCUGACUUCAGAGCACUCAGG